rnacentral:lncRNA from 1 species
AUGGUAGUGUUCAAAAGUGUCAAGAGACAGACAAAAAAAAUGUCACCAGACAUGGGGUCUUACAAUGCCUGGGCAAUCAUAAUCACACUUUUGUCUCUUCCACAGCAGUUGGAGAUCUCAGAGCCCUCCACAGAGCAUCAUUACUUUUGUUACACCUAUGGGAGAACUGAGGCUCAGAGCAGUAAAGCCACCUGCCUAUGGUCACACAGCAAGGAAAUGAAGAAAUGCAGCUAUUUUUUACCGUGGUUUGAGGACGAUAGAGUAGUAGGAGCUGUGCAGUACUACCACCCUCUGGCCACUGCCAAUAGCACCAUCCUCCAUCUCCAGGAGUGCUCUGAGCUCCAUCAUCUGCCUUGCACACCUGUGGGAGAUAAAUGCUGCUUUUCAGUGUGUAAAUGCUGCUUUUCAGUGCACCCAGUAAAGAGAGACAGUGAUUUACACCUUCUGAUGCAACUCCACACAAUGCCCGUUUGGGCUGCUUGCUUUUGUAAAGAGAUCUCAUCUGAGUGAAGGAUGCAAAGGUGAAACACUUCCAGAUGUGUUGGUCCUCCACGGGUCCAGCUCACGUGGCCAGCUCACGUGAGUUCAUCUCCUACCUCGUCAAAUGCAGAUUCCAGGCAAUUGCAGGUCACUUCCUAUUCUAUUCUAUUCUAUUCUAUUCUAUUCUAUUCUAUUCUAUUCUAUUCUAUUCUAUUCUAUUCUAUUCUAUUCUAUUCUAUUCUAUUCUAUUCUAUUCUAUUCUAUUCCGUUCCGUCUCUAAGAACUUUGGGAACAUAAGUUCCCAAAGCUACCCUUCAGAAAAGAAAGUCCGGUAGAAUCUCUAAAACUUCUCAAAAACAAGCUGCCCCUUCUUUUCCUCUCAUCUACCCUCCUGUCCAUAACCACGUGCUCAUUUAUUUAAAGAACAAAAAGCUAAUAGAAAAAACCACAUCUGCUAUGCCCACUUAUUUGCUAUUAAAAAUAUGCUUCCCAAAAUUAAAACCAGCAGUUCUUGACAUACAAAAACCUAUUUUUUCCUUUCUUAACUUCCAUCUACAAGAGAGAUGCUGGCUAUCUGCCCAGAUGAAGAGGAAGCCACAGCAAACUGUGGCAUCUUGCAUCACACUCUUCAAUGGCCAAAACUGGCAUGUCAUAGGCUGUGAAAGGGAACGAAUUUAAAGGUCAAAGGAACUUCAUACCAAGGCUGUACUUUACAUUUGGUUCCUCUCUGGACAGUAAAUGUGUGUCUUCAGGUGACAAUAUUUGUGCAAGUAAAUCUACUGCCUCUCAAUGCCAAGGUUGGACUUUGGGGAUACUGCUGCUUAAGCCAUUUUCUCAUGCUGAUGACAUAAUGCAUUCAAUAAUAAUGAUAAUUAAUAAUAAUAAACAAAAAAACACAAAAAAAUCCCA